rnacentral:rRNA from 1 species
GCCACACUGGGACUGAGACACGCCCCAGACUCAUACGGGAGGCAGCAGUGGGGAAUAUUGCACAAUGGGCGCAAGCCUGAUGCAGCAACGCCGCGUGAGGGACGACGGCCUUCGGGUUGUAAACCUCUUUUAGCAGGGAAGAAGCGAAAGUGACGGUACCUGCAGAAAAAGCGCCGGCUAACUACGUGCCAGCAGCCGCGGUAAUACGUAGGGCGCAAGCGUUAUCCGGAAUUAUUGGGCGUAAAGAGCUCGUAGGCGGUUUGUCGCGUCUGCUGUGAAAUCCGGAGGCUCAACCUCCGGCCUGCAGUGGGUACGGGCAGACUAGAGUGCGGUAGGGGAGAUUGGAAUUCCUGGUGUAGCGGUGGAAUGCGCAGAUAUCAGGAGGAACACCGAUGGCGAAGGCAGAUCUCUGGGCCGUAACUGACGCUGAGGAGCGAAAGGGUGGGGAGCAAACAGGCUUAGAUACCCUGGUAGUCCACCCCGUAAACGUUGGGAACUAGUUGUGGGGUCCAUUCCACGGAUUCCGUGACGCAGCUAACGCAUUAAGUUCCCCGCCUGGGGAGUACGGCCGCAAGGCUAAAACUCAAAGGAAUUGACGGGGACCCGCACAAGCGGCGGAGCAUGCGGAUUAAUUCGAUGCAACGCGAAGAACCUUACCAAGGCUUGACAUAUACGAGAACGGGCCAGAAAUGGUCAACUCUUUGGACACUCGUAAACAGGUGGUGCAUGGUUGUCGUCAGCUCGUGUCGUGAGAUGUUGGGUUAAGUCCCGCAACGAGCGCAACCCUCGUUCUAUGUUGCCAGCACGUAAUGGUGGGAACUCAUGGGAUACUGCCGGGGUCAACUCGGAGGAAGGUGGGGAUGACGUCAAAUCAUCAUGCCCCUUAUGUCUUGGGCUUCACGCAUGCUACAAUGGCCGGUACAAAGGGCUGCAAUACCGCGAGGUGGAGCGAAUCCCAAAAAGCCGGUCCCAGUUCGGAUUGAGGUCUGCAACUCGACCUCAUGAAGUCGGAGUCGCUAGUAAUCGCAGAUCAGCAACGCUGCGGUGAAUACGUUCCCGGGUCUUGUACACACCGCCCGUCAAGUCAUGAAAGUC